UCGUCGCCGUCGGCGGUGCCGGCGGUGGUGGAUUUUUUGUCGUCGGUUCAGUCGCAGGACUGACCGUCGCGAGACUCGCCACCUCCCGCCGCCGGUCGCUCCGUGGCCCGCGGCGCCGACAUCCCAUCUCGUGACCGCGGUGCUCUCUCCAUCGUUUGCGACUCAACUGAUCGACUCCAACUCCAACUCCAACUCCGACUCCGACUUCGACUCCGACUCCGACUUUGCUAGUGAGGACAGACUGACGCGUAGUGCAAACUGCAAGACACAGGCACUCCUUGUAAAUACUACCUAGCAUGUACAGCAAGAUAACUACUAUGGACUUUUGACCUAAUCGAGAGCUGAGCAGCUACUAAAACGAUCGCAGCUACAACGUCGAUGGUGACGCCUCGCUGCACUCAGAGUCGGACCCCCGCUAUCGAGGCGGACACAUCCCUUCUCGAACGUUCCGUCUGCUGCAGGCCGCUACCGGGGAGACUGGACCGGUUGCAGGCGGCAGAGUCCACGCUGAAAGGAUCGGAGGGCCCGGACCCGCCAGGGCUGUGCUCAUCAACAUGAGGUCUGGCAGACCAGGCACAGGAAUCGGCAGUCCGGCGGCGCGCAGUCCUCUAUCUGGGGCGCCUCUAACGACGAGAAAGUAUGUGCCGACCACCGGUACACGCACCUUCAGAGGCUCAACUUCGACCUCCGAACAGCUCGAGUCGUGACAGACGACAGAUGAGCAUCAUGAAAACAAGAAGGCGAUUUUGUAAAUGCAAACUCAAUCAGCAGUUCGUGACAGCUUGUGCAUAGUUAUUCGGUUUGACUCAAGCUGAUAUCAGUUUGUCUGAACAGCUCAGCAUUAGAGAAAGGCCAGUUUGUCUUUUUUCUUUGCAUCGUGUAAUCACACGCAGGAAAUUUCGAUAAAAUUCAUGAAAAGUUGCAGUGUUGCGCGCUACUCACGUGUUGUGUGUUUGUUUCGUUCUGUUCUGAUGUAUGUGAGAUUGGACGUAUGUAUGUUCGCAUAUAUAUGACUGUAAGUUGUGCCAAAGGCAGCACUGAGCACCGAUAACAAACUGCUGUUAUGUUCCGAAAGGCGAAAAUUUUGCACUGCUUCGACUUUUUAACGGGUGUGAUCAUGCAUAUAUCCUACCUGUUCGGACUGUUAGUUUAAUGAACAUAAACAAGUAAACUCGAAUUGCAGCAUUAAGUUAUACCCGUACUGCUCUGUUUGGGGGGUAUUUUCCAAUAAACGAAAUUGUUCA
rnacentral:misc_RNA from 1 species